UGGAGUGGGAAGGGCUAGCUGCCUGGGAGGAAGGUACCUGAAGCAGAGCACUGUUGGGGAAGGGAAAUACAUUGGAAUGGGUGAGUCCACAGAAGCCAUGGAAAGAAAUGGGGGCUGCUGUCCUUGGUUCUGAACUAGAUGGGACAUGGAACAGUACUGAGAAGAAAUGGGAUGAUUAUUCACUAACCCUGAGCUCUUACCAAGCCACACGGAGCCCAGAGGCUAAUAUUCUACAGAACUUCCCCAGGCUCUGAUACGUAACUUAUUAGAUUUUCUAAAGAUAACCCAUACGUUUUUCCAGAGGACUUCUACAGAAAAUGUUCUAUAACAAAGUUACAAUUUGCUGUGGGUUUCAGACUCUUCAGCAGAGGAAGCCAUUGGACUUGUCCAUGUGAGGAUCUGAGGAGACUAUCACCUCAAGUCUUUUCUUUCCAAAGGAAAUCAGCUCAACACCCUUAACUUUUCACUAAGAUUAGUUCUCAAGACAGUGCAUCUUGGUUGCCUCCUGGUACCCUCUCACCAAGGCACUUUCUUGUCUGUGGAAUGGUCCUCUGACCUGCCCACAGAAUCCCAGAUGGGAAUCACACUAGGGCAUUAUGCAGUCAUAGCAGCAGCUUCUCCAGGACAACAACUUGCUUCCUGUGUUGCGGGACUGGCACUGCAGCCAGUAGUCAAAGUGUUAAGAACCCAGUGAAAACCUGUUCAGUUCUCCCUCUUGGGGCCAGUCUCACCACCCAAGAACAAAAAGACAAUGGAAUUAAAGGGCAGCAGGUUCAGUGCAAUGAAGAGGCUAGGGGAGGAUGUAAAAUAACGAAUGUACUGCAUUACAUGAGUCAUUCCACCUUCCUCUAAAGCCUCAGGGCCUGGCCAUGCCCAAAGCAAGAUGCUAGAAUUACUAGACCAAUUAUCUGGUGCGAAACUCUUAAGCGCCUGCUCCUGAUGGGACCUAAUCUUCAGUGUACAUCAAGCAUCACCUUGGAUUUUAAUUUCCUUCCUUUGCUUUAACUGUGUAGUACCCAUGCU